CUGCAUCGCUCUAUAUUUACAUUGCUUUUAUUUUAUUAGCAUUCUUCGUUCUCUCUUUUUUUUUUUUUUUUUUUUUUUUUUUUGUGACAGCAGAAGUAUGUACUUCAAAUGAAUCACAACUGGGAGAGCUCUCCGGUGGCUUCCAGCUUUCUGCUGGGUUUGAUCUCGUGUCCUGCCAUCAGCCCUCUGUGAUGUUGAAAGCACGCAGGAUCCCUCUGCUCCCCAGCUCUGCCGGAGCGCAAAACGUGAGAGCUCCUCGGAUCAGCUUCAAGGAGCUCUGCCUCGUUUUUAAGCUGAAUAACUUGGGAUUAUUUCAAGAACAAGGAGGCCUCAUCCGUCAGAGCCUCCCUUUCCAUGGGCUGUGGAGGGCUGCGCUGGGUUGGGGUCAGCAGAGCAGCAGUGAUUUAUCAGCAGCGCUCAUAAGUGAGAGCUGAGGCGUGCAAGCUUGAGCCAGGAAAAUGUUUUGCCCAUCAAACCAUAAAAAAAAAUCCCAACAUAUUCCAUCUCUGCACUCCGUGGCCACGUGGUUACCUUAUUCCUGGGUGUGAUCAAGUGGCUCCAAAUGGAACCGUAGACUCAUUCAGGUUGGAAAAAGACCCUUUGUCCAUAAAAGCAACCGGUGUAGCUCGGACUGGGGGAAUGCUCAACCUGGGCUCUUCUCUGAGGCAGGAUUUGCCGUGUGCAACCACAUGGGAUUCCAUCUCUUCCAUAAGACCAGCCCUUCAACCCUUUCCCACUUCCCUUUAGAGUUGCACCCCUGCAAGAGACGAUGGGCACUUCUCUGUCUUGCAAGGGACCCCAGUGCAGCCUUGCUCCAUUGCUCGGGGUUGAGAGCAGCAUGGCAUCCCUUUCUCCUGCUGCCCCACUGGAAAUAACUCAUUCCCAUCAUCGGAGCCUAAGAGGGACCCAAACAAAAUCCUACACCCGAGGAACACCCAGGACCAAAGUGCAGCCCUGUGGUUCACAACAAACUCGAGGUAAUUGCCUGGUGGAACCAGGGGCUGUGGGAGCCCAAAGGGAGAAUGGUGAAAUUCACACUGCAAAUGUCCACCCGUGGCUACUAAAAACAGCAUUUCAGAUGCAGUUUGCACUUUGAGAUGACCAUAAAUUCCUGUGGUGGAAGUGUCCAGACAGGGGCUGUCUGCUUUGCUCCAUCCCAAUCUGGGGCUGUCCUUGUUCUCCGCAAAUUGAGACAGGAUCCUGAGCCAGAAACGUUCGAUCCGACACAGUGCUGCUGUCAGAGAGCUUUUCCUUUCCUGCUGCCACUCUAUCUCCAUCGUUAGGUUUCAGGAUUAACAGCUUUCCUCCCUUUGCUGCUUCCUCAAGGCAGCUGCUCACCCCGUGCUGCUGCUUCGAUCCAAGCACUUGUCCCAGCAUCUCCUCUUUGGGAAGAGCUCCAAUAUGAGCACUUGGGAAGAGGACCCCACACUUCUCUGUCUGCCUCUAAAAGCCCCAUGGGCUACAGGAUGAGUCCUGCUGCUCUCCGCAGCCCUGGGACAAGCAAAGCAAGGCAAAACAGCAACGAGAAAACAACCCUGCUCCUCCGGCUGUGCCCGGGAUCAGACCUCUGUGUUCCUGAUGGGUGAAUAACUUACAACAAGACGAUGUAUUUAUAGCAACGAGCUCAUGAGUUUUUAAUUAAAAUUCCAUUUUCUUUUGCUCCAGAUGGCACGAACAACCGUUUUGGUGUUUUCAUUGGGUUUUUAAGGGAUCACGCGGCUCCUGCUGGGCAGGGUUUGUUCUGGGGCACGGGAGGGCAUUGGGGAGGGUCCUUGCACCCCACACCACAUGUUGGCUGCCCUGGUGGGUUUGUCGAAGAGGGAAGGAGGUUGCCCACCCCCUAGACCCGUGUCUCGUCCUCAGGGACUGCAGCCACCCUGCUGCUGCAGAGGCAGAGCAGCUCACAGGUCAGGAACAGCUCGGUGUCAGCAGCCAUCACAUCAGGGAACGGAGCCAUCCGCCGGCACUGAGCAGAGCUGGCUGGGGAGGACAAUGUGUUCGAGAGCAGAAAGGGUGAGCAGGGAUGUGGGACUUGCCAGAGCCUGUCCACACCACCAUGACCCCAUCAUCCCACCCCCACCGUUCCAUCCCCACCAUCCCAUCCUCACCAUCCUAUCCCCACUAUCCCAUCCCCAUAAUUCCAUCCUACCAUCCCACCCCCAUCAUUCCAUCCCACUAUCCCAUGCUCACCAUCCUAUCCUCACCAUCCUACCCUCCCAUCCCAUCCUCACCAUCCCACCCCCUUCAUUCCAUUCUCACCAUCCCAUCCUCACCAUCCCAUCCCCACCAUUCUAUCCCCACCCAUCCCCACCAUUCAGUCCCUGUUGUCCUAUCCUCACUAUCCUAUCCCCCCACAGUUCUAUCCCCACCAUCCCUUUCUGGGGAAUCCCAGCUCAGCAGGCACUCAGGGUGCCACUCUCUCAUUUCAGACGUUCACAUUUCUACUUCCUAACCUUCAGCUCACCCAGGGGUCACUGAGGACACCCCAUUUUCUUGCCCAUUCCCACCACACCUGGUGACUCCAGUGAGCCUUGGGUGGCACACAGAGCUGGAGCUGGAGCCCCAGCCCCAGCCUAAAGUGGGAUGUGAAGCACUGAGAGGAUUUUGGGUCAGUUCCACUGUGCUGCUCUUUUCCACAUGAACGGCUCAAUGAGACAGAGAUGUGUUGUGGGAACCUUCCAACUCAGUGACCCUGUGCAGAUAUCCAAGUUCUGCAUUUCGUUAGCAAAAUGUUUUGCAGCAUAGAGUGUGGUGCAGAUGCAUAACCCUGGGACACUUAUGCAGAACUCAUCAGCAAGAAAGGGCUAAAAUACUGCAGAAAAAAAGUCUCCAAAGAACAAGCAGGGCUGGGCAGCCCUUCACUUGCCUUGGGGAAGGAAGCAGAACACUCUGUUUGAGGUGUAGGAGCCUUCAGUGGAUGGACACAUCCAGAUUCCAAGCCCAAGGUCCCGUGCAGGGCAUGCCAGGCUGCUUCAGCAUACAAAGCAUCCAAGAAAGAAUCGGACUGAGUCAGACCCUCAUGGUGCAUGUGGGGUGGUUGGAGCACGCUGCACUCAAUGAGUGGCACUAGUCCAUCUGAGUGCUGCUAAUCAGAGAUGUACGAGGGAUGAGGUCUGGGGUACCAGGGGACUCUUGGUUACUUUCCUGUGCUGGUUUCUGCCUGGAGAAACCAGCCCAUCCCACUCCAUACCAUCUCACUCUAUCCUAGUACUUCUCAUCCCAACACAUCCUAAUACAUUCUGUACCAUCUCAACCCGUUCCAUCCCAUUCCAUUCUGUUCAGCCAAUCCCAUCCUACCUUAUCCCAACCAACUCAUCUCAUCCUACCCAAUCUCUUUUUUACAAGUUAUCCUACCCUACCCUACCCUACCCUACCCUACCCUACCCUACCCUACCCUACCCUAUCCUAUCCUAUCCUAUCCUAUCCUAUCCUAUCCUAUCCUAUCCUAUCCUAUCCUAUCCUAUCCUAUCCUAUCCCAUCCCAUCCCAUCCCAUCCCAUCCCAUCCCAUCCCAUCCCAUCCACCACUUCCCAUUUUAUCCAAUCCAUACCAUUCCAUCCAAUGUGUCCCAUCCCAUUCAAUCCAUCCCACCCCACUGUAUCCACGCAAUCCCACUCCAUCUUAUUCCAUCCAACCCACCCCACCCCACCCCACCCCACCCAAAGCUAGUUGCUCUCCCAACCUCUGCUUUGCAGAGGAACACAGUUCCUUGCCCAUUUAUUUGCUGUCCAGCUGCAGGAAGGCCAGGAUAUUGCUACCCAAGGGGGACAGGUGACAGCCUGUUGCUCUGUUCCGUCUGCACAACCCCACUCCAUGGGACACAAACCCCCUCCCCAGGAACCAUCCCCGUUCAAGCAGUGGCACAAAGCCCAUUUCUGCCCCAGGGACGGCCCCAGCAGCCCCCUCUCGACCGGCUGCAGUCUGGCUGUCGGGGUGGAAACGCAUUAAUGCCGUCACGGAUCCCACAAAGACAAAAUAAAAAGCCUUUGGGGAGUGACUCGGCAGUGCAGCCGGAAGAGAGGAAGCAGAGUUUUCUUUUCAGGAGGUCUUGGCUUCUCUCUUUUUAAAAAAAAUUAUUUUAUUUUUGGCAGCCGUGAUGGCAGCAGGGAGGGAGUAAAUGGCCUUGCCCAAGCAUGGAUGCAUUUGUGGCUUUCAAGAAGCAGAGUGUCCGGAGUUUGAGAGGCUCUGUGCUGCAGAGUCACGGCCACGCAGUGGGGCUGGGUGGGGAGGGAGGGAGGGAGAAGGGCUGAGAGCCCGUCGCUGUGUGGGGGAGCAGGGUGCUGGAAUGCAGGAGAAGUAUGCUGAGGUGAAGGAUGUUAGGAUGCAGGUGCAGAGUUCUGGGGUGCUGGAGCAGAAAUACAGGAGGAGGGUGCUGGGAUGCAGGAGCUGGGAAGCAGGAGCAGAGUUAGGGAUGCAAGAACAGGGUGAUGAAGUGCAGGAGGAGGGAUGGAGAAGCAGGGUUCAAGGAUGGAGGAGCAGAGAUGCAGGAUGCUGGGAUGGACAAGCGAGAUGGUGGGAUGCAGGAGCAGAGUUUGAGUAUGGAGGAGCAGGGAUGCAGGAGCAGGGUGCUGGGAUGCGGAAAGAGGGAUGGAGAAGCAGAGUGUUGGGAUGGAGAUGUAGGGUUCAGGGGUGGAAGAGCAGGAUGCAGGGAUGCGUGAGCACAGUGUCAAGGGCAGGUGGCCUGCAUCUGCUUCCCUUCCUUGUUCCCUCCGUCCUCUUCUUCCUGUGGCUCCCACCCUGGGUACGGGACCAAAUGAUGCACCCUGACUUUUGGGGUUUGGGAAAUGGGGCUCAUCCCCUCUCAGCUCCUUGCUGCUGCUUUCCUGCAUACAAAGCAAGAGAUCCUGGAGCUGCAGCUACCGACAGUUGGGAGCGAUAAGCCAAGCUGUUCCUGGGGCUCAGCAGGGAGCACCGGGGGGGCACAGAGCUGCUGGGUGCUCCCCAGGAGGAGGGGCUGCCUCUGCCUUUUCCUGCCCGGGGCUGCGUUGGUGGGUGAUGCAGCAGCUGAAGGCAACAGCUUGUGUUGUGCUCUGUUUGCUCACACCUCGCGGCUCCUGCUGGCAAAGAGCAAAUCUCACGCUGAGGAAGCAGCACCACAACAGCAUCUGAGCACCCCAGAAAUCAUUUUGCUUUUUCUGAAUGGAAAGUCAUUCUGCCUCUUGCACGUCCUAGCACUGCCUAUGUCAGCAUGGUAUAUUGGUGCAUGGUGUGUUGGUGCACAGAGCAGGGUGUGGGCUGGUGUGCGGCACAGUGGGGCAGUGGUGCUGCAGGUGCACAGUGUGUUGGUGCACAGUGCCAGUCCAGGUGUGUGGUGCAUGGUGCUAGUCCUGAGUACUGAUCUAUGGUGCAUCGUAUCUUGGUGCCAGUCCUGGUGCAUGGAGCACAGUGCUGGUGCUAGUCCCAGAGCAUGGUACAUAGCGAGCAUUGCAUGGUGCCAGGUCCGUUGCAUGGUGCACUGUGCACAGUGCUCGGCAGCAGUGCUAUUCCACCUACCAGUCUGGUUGCAUGGUGCCAGCCUCUAUCCCAGUGAAUGGCGCACAGUGCACAGUGCACAAAACCAGUCCAGUUGCCAGUCCCAUUGUCAGUCUGAAUGCCAUCCCAGUGCACGGUGCACAUUGCAUGGCACUGGUCCUGGUCUUGGUGCCAGUCCUGGUGCAUGGUGCGCUCUGUCAGUCCAAGUAUAUGGUGUGUGGCACACAGUGCACGAGUCCCACUGCCACUCUGGGUGCCAGGCCCAGUGCACGAUGCAUUGUGAACAGCGCACAGUGCCAACCCCAGGGCUGAUCCCACUCCUGGCACCCGUGCACGAUCCCACUUUUGAUCCCAGUGCUCUGUGUGUUUUGCACGGCACACCGUGCCAGCUCCACGCUCACAGAGCAUGCAGCACAAUGCACGCCGUGAGUCCCAGCGGCGGUCUGGACGCCAAUCCCAGCGCACGGCGCACAAUGCACAAUCCCAGACCCGGUCCACAGCGCGUGGUGCGGCGUGCACGGUGCACAAUGCAGGGCAAGGAUCCCCUUCCCAAUCCUAGUGCGGGUCCCGGUGCGGGUCCCGGUGCCGGUGCCGGUGCCGGUGCCGGCUCGGGGCGGUGGUGCUGAAGGACAG
ensembl:lncRNA